rnacentral:misc_RNA from 1 species
GAUGAAGAACGUAGCGAAAUGCGAUAAGUAAUGUGAAUUGCAGAAUUCAGUGAAUCAUCGAAUCUUUGAACGCACCUUGCACCCUUUGGCAUUCUGAAGGGUAUGCUCGUUUGAGUGUGAUUGUACUCUCACACUCCCGAUCUUUGCAUUGGGAGCAGUGGACUUGGGUUUGCUGCUUCACCGUCGCUUACCUCAAAUAGGUUAGUGUAACUCUUGGUUGGACAUAGUACGGCGUGAUAAGUGUUCUUCGCCGGUGCCUCGCAAAGAGGGUGGCCGAUCGGGAUGUUGUGCUCCAAACCGUCUUCGGACAAUCUCUGACGACUUGACCUCAAAUCGAGUAAGACUACCCGCUGAACUUAAGCAUAUCAAUAAGCGGAGGA